rnacentral:rRNA from 1 species
AACACGUGAGAAACCUGCCCUAAAGAUCGGGACAACCACUGGAAACGGUGGCUAAUACCGAAUAUCUUCCCUUGGCCGCAUGGUCAGUUGGAGAAAUGCUCCGGCGCUUUAGGAGGGUCUCGCGGCCUAUCAGCUAGUUGGUGAGGUAAUGGCUCACCAAGGCAUCGACGGGUAGCUGGUCUGAGAGGACGAUCAGCCACACUGGGACUGAGACACGGCCCAG